GCCUAGAUAGCUCAGUUGGGAGAGCGUUAGACUGAAGAUCUAAAGGUCCCCGGUUCAAUCCUGGGUCUGGGCA
rnacentral:tRNA from 1 species